AUUGAACGCUGGCGGCAGGCCUAGCACAUGCAAGUCGAACGGUAACAGGAAACGGCUUGCUGUUUCGCUGACGAGUGGCGGACGGGUGAGUAAUGUCUGGGAAACUGCCUGAUGGAGGGGGAUAACUACUGGAAACGGUAGCUAAUACCGCAUAACGUCGCAAGACCAAAGAGGGGGACCUUCGGGCCUCUUGCCAUCGGAUGUGCCCAGAUGGGAUUAGCUAGUAGGUGGGGUAACGGCUCACCUAGGCGACGAUCCCUAGCUGGUCUGAGAGGAUGACCAGCCACACUGGAACUGAGACACGGUCCAGACUCCUACGGGAGGCAGCAGUGGGGAAUAUUGCACAAUGGGCGCAAGCCUGAUGCAGCCAUGCCGCGUGUAUGAAGAAGGCCUUCGGGUUGUAAAGUACUUUCAGCGGGGAGGAAGGGAGUAAAGUUAAUACCUUUACUCAUUGACGUUACCCGCAGAAGAAGCACCGGCUAACUCCGUG
rnacentral:rRNA from 1 species